CGCAGGUUUUUAGUUAGGUGCAGUUGAUAUGAAUCUGGUUGGGAGUCCCAAAGACUCAGAACUGAACAUAGACGUUCGUAUCGACCUAACACAGUUUUAGUUUUUAUUUUAGUUUUGUCUCAUAUAAAAAAAAAUUACAUUAGCUGUACAUUUGUGUAUAUAGAUUUUAUUUUAUAUUUUUAUACAAGUCAACAAGAUGGAACUUAAUUCUCUUUUAAUUCUCCUGGAGGCUGCAGAAUACUUGGAAAGAAGAGACAGAGAAGCAGAACAUGGUUACGCGUCUGUUUUACCGUACAAUAGCGACUUUUCCCGAAAGAAAACGAAAGCUUCGCCAAUUUCAAGAAAAACUCAGAACAAUAGAUCGUCACACAACGAGCUGGAGAAACACAGGUAAGAUGACAGACAACACUGUGCCAUAGCCUGGUCCCAGAUCAGUUCAUAGCCAAUUCCUAUAGGUCUAUUCGACUCA